rnacentral:rRNA from 1 species
UAAGGAAUAUUGGUCAAUGGACGAAAGUCUGAACCAGCCAUGCCGCGUGAAGGAUGACGGCCCUCUGGGUUGUAAACUUCUUUUAUCUGGGACGAAAAAAGGGAAUUCUUUCUCACUUGACGGUACCAGAGGAAUAAGCACCGGCUAACUCCGUGCCAGCAGCCGCGGUAAUACGGAGGGUGCAAGCGUUAUCCGGAUUUACUGGGUUUAAAGGGUGCGUAGGUGGGCCUGUAAGUCAGUGGUGAAAUCUUCGAGCUUAACUCGGAAACUGCCAAUGAUACUAUAGGUCUUGAAUCAUCUGGAGGUGAGCGGAAUAUGUCAUGUAGCGGUGAAAUGCUUAGAUAUGACAUAGAACACCGAUUGCGAAGGCAGCUCACUACGGAUGUAUUGACACUGAGGCACGAAAGCGUGGGGAUCAAAC